rnacentral:lncRNA from 1 species
AUGCUGUCACUCAGCGAGCCGGGAGCCUCUGCUUUACCCUUUCGGUCCCGCUGCCGGGAAGGGCGGACUUGCAGAGCUAUAGGCAAUUUGGGGUCCCAGCGGGGGCGGGGAUAUUUAGGAGGGCGUGGGGCUUGAGGCUCAGAGGCUGGAACUUGGGCAGGGAUAGGUGGCGAGUAGUUGCAUUGUUUUACGCAUUUUUAGCCUUGUCCGGAAGUGGCUUAUGGCUGGAGGUGAGGAGUGGGAGGUGGGUGGGUUCAAUCUUUAGCGCUGUCACCCCAAUUCUUAGAUACGGGCUAAUUACAUUUUCCUCAAUAUUAAAUAACGUGCAAUGCAAACGAAGCUUCAAGUCCUCUUUCUGGAGCCAACUUACUGGGUCCCCUUGAUGGUCCCAGCCCCGGGCUAUGCAUUUAUCACCGAAUUUUCCCAACUGCUCUUCCAGCCCAGUGACAAAGGCUCUGAGAGCAGAAAGCGGGACAGCAGAGGCCCUGAGGCUGAUACAGUAUUGCCGGAUGCAAGCGCGGGGUGGGAGAGAGUGGUGGGUAUUCCAGACGGAGGGAAUAGCGGAACCUCUCAGGCAGAGCUGGGCUGGUUACAGGAGCAGCCAGGGAGGCUAACGGGGCUGCGUGCACUCCGAACAGGCCUGGGAUGAUUUCCGAGAGGUAAGUGGGUUGCUGCAGAGCGAGAGAAACCUGCUGUGUGGGGUCGUGGGGAUAGGAGUAAGGGGAUUUCGGAGUUUUGUUUUGGCCUAUUCAAAAUAUGAAGCCAAGUCACCAUGGCUCACACCUGUGAUCCCAGCAUUUUGGAAGGCUGAGGUGGGAGGAUUGCUUGAGGCCAGGAGUUGGAGACCAGCCUGGGCAACACAGUGACACCGCGUCUCUACAAAAAAUUUAAAAAUUAGCCAAGUGUGGUGGUCAUGCACCUGUAGUCUCAGCUACUGGGGAGGCUGAGGCAGGAGGAUGGCGUAAGCCCAGGAGGUUGAGUCUGGAGUGAGCUAUGAUCGUGCCACUGCACUCCAGUCUGAGCAACAGAGCAAGACUCCAUCUCAAAAAAAUAUAUAGCUAUAAUAUAUAUAAAGUAUAUAUAUUAUAUAUAUAGUGGUCAAGCUGCAGUUCUGGAGUGAGAGCCCGUUUCUUUCUGUUUGGCCCAGGACCUGGUACUGGCAUUAGCAGUUCACUCUGCCAGGGACAGUCUCUCUCAGACAGCCACCGGCUGGCUCCUUACUCCCUCAGCUCCCUACUUAGAAAUCACCACGUUGGGCCAGGUGCUGUGGUGCACGCCUGUAAUCCCAGCACUUUGGGAGGCAGAGGUGGGUGGAUCAUCUGAGGUCAGGGGUUCGAGACCAGCCUGGCCAACAUGGUGAAACCCCAGCUUGGCCGGGUCACACCUGUAAUCCCAGAACUUUGGGAGGCCGAGGCGGGUGGAUCACGAGGUCAGGAGAUCGAGACCAUCCUGGCUAACACGGUGAAACCCCAUCUCUAAUAAAAAAUACAAAAAAAUUAGCCGGGCGUGGCGGUGGGUGCCUGUAAUCCCAGCUACUGAGGAGGCUGAGGCGGGAGAAUGGCGUGAACCCGGGAGGCGGAGCUUGCAGUGAGCCAAGAUUGCGCCACUGCACUCCAGACUGGGCGACAGAACAAGACUCUGUCUCAAAAAAAAAAAAAAAAAAAGAAAACCCCAGCUCUACUAAAAUACAAAAAUUAGCCAGGCAUGGUGAUAGGCACCUGUAGUCCCAGCUACUCUGGAGGCUUAGGCAGAAGAAUCACUUGAACCUGGGAGGCGGAGGUUGCAGUGAGUCGAGAUUGUGCCACUGCACUUCAGCCAGGGUGACACAGCAAGACUCUGUCUCAGAAAAAAAAAAAAAAAAUCACCACAUCAGGCCAGGCGUGGUGGCUCACGCCUGUAAUUCCAGCACUUUGAGAGGCCGAAGCAGGAGAUCACUUGAGGUCAGGAGUUCCAGACCAGCCUGGCCAACAUGCUGAAACCCUACCUCUACUAAAAAUACAAAAAUCAGCCGGGCACGGUGAUGCACAUCUGUAAUCCCAGCUACUUGAACCUGGGAGGCAGAGGUUGCAAUGAGCCAAGAUGUCGCCAUUGCACUCCACCCUGGGCGACAGAGUACUCUGCCUCAAAAGAAGAAAAGAGUUCAUGACCAGCCUGGCCAACAUGGCAAAACCCCAUCUCUACUAAAAAUACAAAGGUCAGCUGAGUGUGGUGGCAGACGCCUGUAAUCCCAGCUACUUGGGAGGCUGAUGCAGGAGAAUCGCUUGAACCCGGGAGGUGGAGGUUGCAGUCAGCCAGGAUCGUGCCAUUGCACUCUAGCCUGGGCAACAAGAGUGAAACUCCAUCUCAAAAAAAAAAAAAGAAGGGAGGGAGGGAGGGAAGGAAGGAAGGAAGGAAGGAUCUCAUUGAAGAGACCUCCCAACCCUCCCUUCCCUUCCCUAUAUUUCCCUUUAUUUCCUCUUUUUUUUUUUAAACACAGGGCGAGGGGGAGGGGAGUCUCAGUACAUUGCCCCGGCUGGUCUUGAACUCCUGACCCCAAGUGAUCCUCCCACCUCCACCUCCCAAAGUACUAUGGAUUACAGGCAUGAGCCACUGUGCCGCCACCGGGCCUGUAUCUCCCUUUCUUAUUUUAUUUUUUUCCGAAUGUGGUUUGGAUUGCAGCUAAUCUUGUAAUCUCAGUGGCUCCUGUGGCGGGAGCCUCCCACGAUAGCUCUAAGCCCUGCAUGUUCUAAAUGCAGAGAAUGCUGUCAGGAUUCUCCUACAGAGACGCCUCCCAUCCUCUGACCUCCCCAUGUGACACAAAUGCCCGAUAGGUCUGCUGACUUCAGAUCCAAACCCAGCCAGAGAAACUCUUCCCUGUUUUCUGUUCUGUGCUCUCUCGCUGCGGGGAACUGAGGGUUUCAAUGCUGGGACAAGUAGCCCCCAGAGGUGGUGAUGUGCACACGUGACUUGGGUUUUGCAGCUGGUCCAUGGAGAACAAAGGGAGGGGCCGUCAUGAAAGACCUGCAGAAAAGCUUCCCACCCACGAACCCUCCACUGUCCCAUAAUUAUUAUUUUUUAAUUUUUAUUACUUAUUUUUUUGAGACAGAGUCUCUCUCUGUCCCUCAGGCUGGAGUGCAGUGGCGCGAUCUUGUCUCACUGCAUCCUCCACCUCCCAGGUUCAAGCGAUUCUCCUGCCUCAGCCUCCCAAGUAGCUGGGACUACAGGCGCCCGCCACCACACCCGCCUAAUUUUUGUAUUUUUAAUAGAGAUGGAGUUUCACCAUAUUGGCCGGAUCGGUCUCAAACUCCUGAUCUUGUGAUCCACCUGCCUUGGUCUCCCAAAGUGCUGGGAUUACAGGUGUGAGCCACCACGCCUGGCUAUUAUUAUUAUUUUUUUGUGACAGAGUCUUGCUCUGUCGCCCAGGCUGGAGUGCAGUGGCACGAUCUUGGCUCACUGCAACCUUUGCCUCCUGGGUUCAAGCGAUUCUUCUACCUCAGCCUCCUGAGUAGCUUGGAUGACAGGCGCCCGCCACCACACCACCUCCAGCUAAUGUUGUAUUUUUAGUAGAGAUGGAGUUUCACCAUGUUGGCCAGGAUGGUCUCAAACUCCUGACCUCAAGUGAUCCACUCAUCUCGGCCUCCUAAAGUGCUGGGAUUACAGGCGUGAGCCACUGCACCCAGCUGCAUAAUUAAAGUGUGUUUUAUUUAUGGUCCAGCCUCCUAAUAUGGGCUUUGCUUUUUCCCCUCCCUCUGAUUGUAGACUUUCAGCUGGGCACGUUGCUUUAUCCAAGACUCACAGGGUUGUCUCACAGGGUAUCCAGUAAGCACAUGUGGCUAUUUAAGUUAAAAUUAAUUAAAAUGAAAUACAAUUUAAAAUUCCAUUCCUCAGGCACCCUGCCCGCAUGUCAGGCGCUCAGUCGUCACUGGCGUCUGGGGGUCACCGUACUGGACAGCGAAGAUCUAGAACAUUCUGUCAUCACAGAAAGUCCCAGUGGACAGCACUGAUUGGAGGCUCCUAGGAAAGAGAAAUUCCUCCAGGGUCCAUGUAGAAAUCGGAAGCACAUUUUCAGUAGUCAUUCCAUUUCUACUCUUUUUUUUUUUUGAGAAGGGGUCUCACUCUGUUGCUCAGGCAGGAGUGCAAUGGUGCAACCUCAGCUCACUGCAACCUCCACCUCCCGGGUUCAAGCGAUUCUUCUGCCUCAGCCUCCUGAGUGGCUGGUAUUACAGGCACGUGCCACCACACUCGGCUAAUUUUUGUAUUUUUAGUAGAGACAGGGUUUCAUCAUGUUGGCCAGGCUGGUCUCGAACUCCUGACUUCAGGGGAUCCACCCCCACCUCGUUCUCCCAAAGUGUUGAGAUUACAGGCCUGAGCCUUUUUUUUUUUUUUUUUUUUUGAGACAGGAUCUCACUCUUGCUCAGGCUGGAGUGCGGUGGCACAAUCUUGGCUCCCUGCAGUCCCAACCUCCUGGGCUCAAGCAGUCCUCCCGUCUCAGCCUCCCAAAUAGGUGGGACCACAGGUGCUUGCCACCCAGCACACCCAGCUCAUUUUUGUAUUUUGUAGGGACAAGGUCUUCCUGUGUUGCCCAGGCUGGUUUUGAACUCCUGGGCUCAAGCGAUUCUCCUGCCUCAGUCUCCUAAAGUGCUGGGAUUACAGGGGUGAGCCACAGAGACUGGUCCAUUCUGUUUCCCCCUGCCUUUUUUUUUUUUUUUUUUCCGAGAUGGAGUCUCGCUCUAUCACCCAGGCUGGGGUGCAGUGGUGUGAUCUUGGCUCACUGCACCCUCUGCCUCCCAGGUUCAAGCAAUCCUUCUGCCUCAGCCUCCUGAGUAGCUGGGAUUACAGGUGUGCGCCACCAUGCCCAGCUAAUUUUUGUAUUUUUAGUAGAGACAGGGUUUUGUAUUUUUAGUAGAGACAGGGUUUCACCAUGUUGGUCAGGCUGGUCUCGAACUCCUGACCUUGUGAUCUGCCCACCUUGGCCUCCCAAAGUGCUGGGAUUACAGGCGUGAGCCACCAGCGUGGCCCAUUUCUCCCUGAUUUAAAACCCCCGUGAGUGGGGUUGGAGGGAAUUCCCUGGAGUGUGGUCACCCUGGGUCCUUCCCUUUGGCUGUGCCCUGGCCACUCCAGCCCAGCCAGCAGGGAGCAAUUUCCCUUGACCCCUCAGGGAGGAGACAGAUGACACAGCAGACAGGAAGGAAGGAAGCCAAUAUUUCCUCCUUGUUCUUGGCUUUUGAGUUGUUUGGUUGACUUGGAAACUCAAAGUCUAGAAGGUUUGAGACAAAAGGCAUUUGCAUUCCAAAUACUUUGGAGUUUUUGUUUUACACAAGCAAACUACCUUGCUGGGUGCCGUGGUUCAUGUCUGCAAUGCCAGCACUUUGGAAGGCCAAGGCAGGACGAUCGCUUGAGCCUAGGACUUCAAGACCAGCCUGGGCAACAAAGUGAGACCCCAUUUCUAUAAAAAAUAAAAAAUUAGCCAGGCACGGUGGCACACACCUGUCGUCCCAGUUGCUCGGGAGGCUGAGGUGGGAGGAUCACUUGAGCCUGGGAAGUUGAGCCUGCUCUGAACCGAGACUGUACCACUGCACUCCAGCCUGGGCAACAGAGCAAGACCCUGUGUCGAAAAAAGAAUUGCGGCCAGGCGCAGUGACCCAUGCCUAUAAUCCCAGCACUUCGGGAGGCUGAGGCGGGUGGAUCACCUGAGGUCAGGAGUUUGAGACCAGUCUGGCCAAUAUGAUGAAACCCCACCUCUACUAAAAACUCAAAAAUUAGCGGGGCACGGUGGCAAAUGCCUGUAAUCCCAGCUACUCAGGAGCCUGAGGCAGGAGAAUCUCUUGAACCCGGGAGGCAGGGGUUGCAGUGAGCCAAGAUUGUGCCACUGCACUCCAGCCUGGGAAAGAAAGAAAGAAAAAAGAGAAUUGCUUGAGUAGAUCCUGAAUUCCAGCAGAACAGCUGACACCAGCUAGUGUGAAGGCCCCCAGAGAGGAGCAGGAUGAGCAUGAGAACAUAGCUUCUCCCUCCCCCGUCCCAGAACUUCACCCUGCACUCUUCAACCAGUCAACAGGCGCCACACUCCAAAACUUUUUUUGUUCGUUUGUAUGUUUCAGACAGAGUUUCAUUCUGUCCCCCAGGCUGGAGUGUAGCGGCAUGAUCUCAUCUCACUGCAACCUCUGCCUCCCAGGUUCAAGCAAUUCUCCUGCCUCAGCCUCCCGAGUAGCUGGGAUUAUAGGCACUUGCCACCAUGCCCGGCUAAUUUUUGUAUUUUUAGUUGGUGGGGGGGAGUCUCACCAUGUUGGCCAGGCUGGUCUCGAACUCCUGACCUCAGGUGAUCUGUCUGCCUCAGCUUCCCAAAGUGCUGGGAUUACAGGCGUGAGCCACCAUCCCUGGCUUUUUUUUUUUUUUUUUUUUUUUGAGACGGAGUCUCGCUCUGUCACCCAGGCUGGAGUGCAGUGGCGCCAUCUCGGCUUACUGCAACCUUUUGUCUCCCGGUUUCAAGCGACUCUCCUGUUUCAGCCUCUCAAGUAGCUGGGAUUGCAGGUGCCCGCCACCACGCCCAGCUAAUUUUUGUAUUUUAAGUAGGGACGGGGUUUUCCCAUGUUGGGCAGGCUGGUCUCCAGCUCCUGACCUCAGGUGAUCCGAUCCACCCACCUCGGCCUCCCAGAAUGCUAGGAUUACAGCCGCAGGCCACCAUGCCUGGCCCUGUUCUUGUUUUUUUAGAGAUGGAGUCUUGCUCUAUUGCUCUGGUUGGAGUGCAGUGGUGCAAUCAUAGCUCACUCAGCUGUGACCUCCUGGGUUCAAGCGAUCCUCCCACCUCAGCCUUUUGAGUAGCUGGGACUACAGGCGUACACCACCAUGCCUGGCUAAUUUUUAAAUUUUCUGUAGAGAUGAGGUCUGGCUAUGUUGCCCAAGCCAGUCUUAUACAGCUGGGCUCAAGCAAUCCUCCUGCCAGGGCCUCCCAAAUUGUUGGCAUUACAGGAAUGAGCCUGGCCUGCUUAAGCAAUUCUUAAACAGAAGUAUUUUGCUUCUAACGUCAGAGAUGGUAUCUAUGUGGUGCAAAUGGUCAGUGUCUAGUGCAAUGUGCUUUUCUGUUACAAGGAAGCAGGUCAGAGUGCAGCCAGAUUAAUGCUUCAUUUUAAUUUUAAUUUUUUAUUUUUUGAGAUGGAGUUUCGCUCUUUUUGCCCAGGCUGGAGUGCAGUGGUGCAGUCUCGACUCACUGCAACCUCCACCUCCCGGGUUCAAGCAAUUCUCCUGCAUCAGCCUCCCUAGUAGCUGGGAUUACAGGCGCCCGCCACCACGCCCGGCUAAUUUUUUGUCCUUUUAGUAAAGACAGGGUUUCACCAUGUUGGUCAGGGUGGUCUCGAACUCCUGACCUCAGGUGAUCCACCUGCCUCGGCCUCCCAAAGUGCUAAGAUUACAGGCGUGAGCCACCAGGCCCAGCCUAAUGCUUAAUUAUAACUAUAUGUCUGUACAUAAUUCUUUUUUUUUUUUUUUUUUUGAGAUGGAGUCUCGCUCUGUCACCCAGGCUAGAGUGCAUUGGCACAAUCUCGGCUCACUGCAACCUCCACCUCCCAGGUUCAAGGAAUUCUCCUGCCUCAGCCUCCUAAGUAGCUGGGACUACAGGCGCCUGCCACCACGCCUGGCUAAUUUUUUUUUAUUUUUAGUAGAAACGGGGUUUCACCAUCUUGGCCAGGCUGGUCUCGAACUCCUGACCUUGUGAUCCACCCGCCUCGGCCUCCCAAAGUGCUGGGAUUACAGGCGUGAGCCACCGCUCCCGGCCAAUCUGUACAGAAUUCUUGUUAACCCUGUGAGGACAGCUUCACCCCCACCCUCAGGCUCCACACCAACCCCCUGUCACAGGAAGAGUGAGUUUGUGGAAGUGGCUAGGAUUGAUGAGGUUUGCCUCCUGCCACCUGGUAGAAAGAAGCUGAUAUUUGUUUUCUGUAGCUGCUGUAACAGAUGACUGCAAACCAGGUGGCUUCAGACAACAGAAAUGUAUUUUCGCACAGUGACGGAGGCCAGAAUCGAGGUGUGGGGAGGGCCACUGUGCUCCCUCUGAAGGCUCCAGGGGAGGGUCCUCCCUGCCUCUUCCAGUUUCUGGUGGCGGCCAGCAGGCUUUGGUGUGACUUGGCUUCACUCCAAUUUCUGCUUCCAUCACUGCUUGGCUUUCUUCCCUGUUUGUCUCUGUGUCUGUGUCCAAAUUUCCCUCUCCUGAUAAGAACGCCAAUUAUUAGAUUUAGGAGCUGCCUUGAGAAUCGCUUGAACCCGGGAGGCGGAGGUUGCAGUGAGCCGAGGUGGCGCCACUGCACUCCAGCCUGGGUGAGGGAGUGAGACCCUGUCUCAAAAAAAACAAAAAACAACAACAACAACAACAAAAAAACAACAGAUUUAGAAGCUGUCUUAAUCCAAUGUGACCUCAUCUUAACUAAUCUUUUUUUUUUUUUUGACUCGGAGUCUUGCUCUGUCGCCAGGCUGGAGUGCAGCGAUGUGAUCUCGGCUCGCUGCAACCUCCGCCUCCCAGGUUCAAGCGAUUCUCCUGCCUCAACCUCCCCAGUAGCUGGGACUACAGGCGCCCGCCACCACCACGCCCAACUAAUUUUUGUAUUUUUAGUAGAGAUGGGGUUUCACUCUGUUGGCCAGGAUGGUCUCCAUCUGUUGCCCUUGUGGUCUGCCUGCGUUGGCCUCCCAAAGUGCUGGGACUCCAGGUGUGUGCCACCAUGCCCGUCUAAUUUUUGUAUUUUUUUGCCGAGGGGAGUGUUGGCGUGUUGCCCAGUCUGGUCUCAAGCUCCUGGCCUCACGUGAUCCACCCACCUUGGCCUCCCAAAGUGCUGGGAGUACAGGAGUGAGCCACUGCAUUCGGCCAUAACUAAUCAUAUCUGCAAUGACCCUAUUUCCAAAUAAGGUCGCAUUCCCAGGUACAGGGGAUGGAGGGGGCUUUUGGACUUCAACAGAUAUUUUUGGGGGACAAAGUUCUACCC